rnacentral:rRNA from 1 species
AAGGGGGAGGGGAAAUUUUUUUUAAAUGUUUUUUUUCGGUCCCGAUGAACGCUGGCGGCGUGCCUAAUACAUGCAAGUCGAGCGAAUGGAUUAAGAGCUUGCUCUUAUGAAGUUAGCGGCGGACGGGUGAGUAACACGUGGGUAACCUGCCCAUAAGACUGGGAUAACUCCGGGAAACCGGGGCUAAUACCGGAUAACAUUUUGAACCGCAUGGUUCGAAAUUGAAAGGCGGCUUCGGCUGUCACUUAUGGAUGGACCCGCGUCGCAUUAGCUAGUUGGUGAGGUAACGGCUCACCAAGGCAACGAUGCGUAGCCGACCUGAGAGGGUGAUUGGCCACACUGGGACUGAGACCCGGCCCAGACUCCUACGGGAGGCAGCAGUAGGGAAUUUUCCGCAAUGGACGAAAGUCUGACGGAGCAACGCCGCGUGAGUGAUGAAGGCUUUCGGGUUGUAAAACUUUGUUGUUAGGGAAGAACAAGUGCUAGUUGAAUAAGCUGGCACCUUGACGGUACCUAACCAGAAAGCCACGGCUAACUACGUGCCAGCAGCCGCGGUAAUACGUAGGUGGCAAGCGUUAUCCGGAAUUAUUGGGCGUAAAGCGCGCGCAGGCGGUUUCUUAAGUCUGAUGUGAAAGCCCACGGCUCAACCGUGGAGGGUCAUUGGAAACUGGGAGACUUGAGUGCAGAAGAGGAAAGUGGAAUUCCAUGUGUAGCGGUGAAAUGCGUAGAGAUAUGGAGGAACACCAGUGGCGAAGGCGACUCUCUGGUCUGUAACUGACAGCUGAAGCGCGAAAGAACGCCC